GGGGAAGGGCAGCCUGCUACCUGACCGAGCGGAGGCCGGGUGAGUAAAGCUAAGGAAUCUGCCUAUGAGCGGGGGACAACAUCCCGAAAGGAAUGCCAAUACCGCAUACGCCCUACGGGGGAAAGCAGGGGAUCUUCGGCACCUUGCGCAAACAGAUGAGCCAAAGUCAGACCAGCGAGGGGGGGGGGAAAAGGCCAACCAAGGCGACGACCAGAAGCGGGGCUGAGAGGAUGAACCCCCCCCACUGGGACUGAGACACGGCCCAGACUCCCUACGGGAGGCCAGACAGUGGGGAACACCGGACAAAGGCGCGAAAAGCCCGGAACAGCCCAAGCCCGCCGUGUGAGAAAGAAGGCCCCUCCCGGGCGGAAAGGCACCUCGAAAGCGAAGGACGGGAGGCCACCCGACAACAAAACCCACCCGGAAGCGGGGACCCGCACCCCGAAAAAACAGGCAACACGCCUGACCCCGCGACCCCCCCAACACCGGGGGCCAACACA
rnacentral:rRNA from 1 species